rnacentral:rRNA from 1 species
CCUACGGGAGGCAGCAGUGGGGAAUAUUGCGCAAUGGGCGAAAGCCUGACGCAGCGACGCCGCGUGAGGGAUGAAGGUCUUCGGAUCGUAUACCUCUGUCAGCAGGGAAGUACGGUCACUGUGCUAAUCAGCAGUGAAUUGACGGUACCUGCAAAGGAAGCACCGUCUAACUCCGUGCCAGCAGCCGCGGUAAUACGGAGGGUGCGAGCGUUAAUCGGAAUUACUGGGCGUAAAGCGCUCGUAGGCGGUAGGUCAAGUCAAGGGUGAAAUACCCGUGCUCAACGUGGGAACUGCCUUUGAAACUGGCAAACUGGAGUGUGUGAGAGGAUGGUGUCAUUCCAGGUGUAGAGGUGAAAUCCCUAGAUCUCUGGAGGAACCUCAGUGGCGAAGGCGACUAUCUGGCACAUAACUGACGCUGAGGAGCGAAAGCGUGGGUAGCAAACAGGAUUAGAUACCCCGGUAGUC